rnacentral:rRNA from 1 species
UACGGAGGGUGCAAGCGUUGUCCGGAUUUAUUGGGUUUAAAGGGUGCGUAGGCGGCUAUUUAAGUCAGCGGUGAAAGACUCCGGCUCAACCGGAGCAGUGCCAUUGAUACUGGAUAGCUUGAGUGUUGGAGGGGUACAUGGAAUUGAUGGUGUAGCGGUGAAAUGCAUAGAUACCAUCAGGAACACCGAUAGCGAAGGCAUUGUACUGGCCAACAACUGACGCUGAGGCACGAAAGCAUGGGGAGCGAAC